AGCUGGGGACCGAACCCAGGGCCUUGCGCUUCCUAGGCAAGCGCUCUGCCACUGAGCCAAAUCCCCAACCCCGAUUUUUUUUUUUAAUGUGAAUCAGAAUUAGGCAGCAUCCAGCAUGCCAUCUGCCUAAUUCUUUCACGUUUAGUUGUUCAAGUUGAUUUCUGGCAGAGUAAAAAUAGUGUUUUUUUUUUGUGUGUGUGUAAAAAAAUGACACAGUUUAGAAGAAUAACCCCAGGUCGGUUUUGUUCCUUUACCUUUGGCUGUGAGCAAGUGUGCAUGUGCACAUGGAGGUCAGAGGUCAACCUCAGGUAUGUUUGCCCACAACCACCAACCGCCUUAUUUUAAAACAAGACUUUUCCUUGGUCUGGAGUUCACUGAGUAGUUGAGGCUGGCCUGCCAGUGAGCCCACAGUGUGUUUCCACCUCCCCAGUGCUGAGGGAUAUAAACAAGUGCCACCACCCCUGGCUUUUGCCCUUCGUGUAGUUUGCAAGCACUUUAUGGAAUAAGGCGUCCCCCCUCACCCCAGCCAGGAGUUUUAUAUGUUUCAGUAAGUGCAUGAGCACAUUAGUCGGUGUACACCCCUAAGGUGUAAGUUAGUAUAUUUGCUUUUAUAUUUUUUAACCUAAAGAAAAAGAUCUGAAUAUCUAGAAACUCCAUUAUUGUGGAUGUGAGAGGCCUUGGAGUUUAUAUCAAAACCAAGUCCUUUGUAAAACUUUCAGUUAAAAAAAAGAAUCCUUAGCUGCCGGCUGCCAUUUGGAGAAGGUUCAGAGCAGGGCCAUCUGUGUUUGAGAAUGGCCACCAAGCGAAGCGGGAGCACAGGCAAGAACUUAGCAUUUAAACCAGGAGCACUGGCAUGCACAAGAAAGCAGAGGCAUUCUUACUUUGGAAUUAUAGAAUUGAAAGUUAAAAAGAACACCUUCAGAAACCUCUCAGACCCACAGCUUUAGGGGACAAUUCCCCCUUUCAGUGUUAAUUUGGUUUCUUUUCUUUAAGUCUGGAAAAAGAUAAAAAUUAUCGUAAGGAGGGGUAGCUUUGGUAAACUGUGAAGAAGGAAGCUGGUCCUGGGCGGUUCUCCCAGCAUGCCUCUGCCAUGAUGGAGAAACCACCAUUCCUUUGUAAUUCUUCCGUUCUUGUCCUUGCCAAGCCCAGUGGCUUCUGUUAGAACAUGCGGCAGCUUCUCCCUAGGAGGUAAACUCAUCCAAGGUACCAUAAUAUUUAGGGCCAGCUACAAAGGCAUUUCUUCCCCUCAACCUCAUGCCAAGUCUAAAUCAAACUACCUCCUCCUUGGCCAUUCAGAAAGAUCCACCUCUUAUAUAAGAGGGACAAGAAACCUGCAGGCCUCUCUUUCUUUCCUUUUUUAAAAAAUGCCUGUUCAAACAGAUAAACAAGGCACAUCACGCCUAGUGUUUCUUUGAGCUCAUUUGCCCUUGCUUCAGAGUUCAUGGUAAGAAGCGCUAUAACAAGUUGUCUUCUGCUUGUGCAGAAGGAGGAAGGGAGAAUGACUUUAGUUCACUGAUGUUCAGCAGAACUGGGCCUCUCAGGAACAUUUUGGAAUCGUGUCAGCCUCUGGGGACAAGAGAAAGUGGGACUGUCCACUGGCCAGGCCAUUAACUGAACAAGUAGCAUCUCUUAAUUUUGUCCUAAGACCAGCCUUGCAGACAGGAUAGUAUGUAGGUAUGUAUGUAGUCUCUGAGCCCCGCAGUUUCCUCCUUGGCAGUUGAUCUGUAUAUCAUGUUUACUUUACCAUCCUUGCUAAAGGUGUGGUUCACUGAAACCACCGUGAUUAGCAUGCAUUAAUGUCCUUGUCUUCUUAAAGAAAGGUUUGCUUCCUUACUGUUUUGCAAUAGGAACUACUUUGAGCACAGUUUGUGUGGGUGACAUGUGCAACAGGUUAUAUAUAGUAGGCAUGGGGUGAAGCACACUUUAAUGAUGGGUGUCAGGGAAUCACCGUCCAGCCUAAGAAUCAACUUACUAGAAAUAUUUGAGGACCCUCCUUUCUGAUUCCUAUUAUACUAUCCCCCUACACACACACACACACACACACACACACACACACACACACACACACACUGCAGAAGAUUUUAUUUACAAUUAUUCUCUGACUCUAAACAGACAUAGGUUUUUAUCAUCACAUAAAUUUGCAUUGGUAGAAGCACUUAAAGAUGUGACAGUGUGACCCCACAUCGUAUGUGGUCUCCUUUGCACCUUGAGUUUUUCCUCCUGCAUUCUGUUUAUAAAAAUCAUACGUGGUGUUGGGGAUAGCAGCCAUGUCUUCAUCUGUGUUGCUCUGUUGUUCCCGAAUGUGAUCAGUUUUUCAUUACCUUAUGGAAAGUGGAAGAUUAUGGAAAGCAAGGAUUCUGCUUCGGGCCCGUGGAGCAUGAGACGUGUCUGGAGAAGCCGUUGAGGACACCAGUGGGCAUAGGUCUGGUGAGGAUGGGUGAGAUUGACAUGCAGACGGCAUCCAAGUCAUUCAGUGUCCAGAAUGUUACAGAGCGCUUCCGUUUUGGCUUGUGUGUUCGUGCUUAUCUGUCAUUUAAUGUGUGUCCUUCUGGUUGGUUGGUAUGUUGUCUCCUGCUGUGGUAUGACAUACAGGGAAGGAGUGAGGCACAUAGGAACCUCUAGGAAUGAUGAGGGAAGUGUCGGAAAGCCCAAGGGUGAUGUGAAGGUUAGGCGUUGGCGUUCAUGCCCCUCCGAGAAUCUUGUGAGAUGGAGCCAGUAUAUCAAUUCGUACUGUCAGUUGAGACAUACUGUGGGGAAAAUCACCAUACGUUACUUUAGUAUCUGCUUAACAAGCUCUUGUCCACUGAGUGUCGACAUCACCUGGAGUAACUUCCAUUCUUUACUCAAAUUAGGAGAAAUAGAACCAACAGUGCACACAGGGUGAACCAGCAUUUGAAUGCAUGGGAUCAGAUCCUAAGAGCCACGCUCUUGCCCAUGUGCGGCUGUUCUUAAAAUGGCAGGCGUUUACCAGUUCCUGUAGCUUUGGGCGUUCCGACAAUUUAAACUCACAUUUCACUGUGUCUGCCUUGAAUCCAGCUAAGAAACACCCUCAAUACCAAGGUGCCUAGAUUGGUCUGUGUGGAUUAGUACCUUCAACACACCCUAGUUUCCCCUCUGAAUGCAUCCUCAGACCUCAGCAUGCGGCUGGCCCAGCUCCUGAGUGCCACUCCUGUUCUAUAAGAUUGAUCCUGCUGAUCUGACCCACAGGAGUUUCUUUUAAUUAAAACAUCAAUUUAAAAGUGAUUCUUAAGCUGUUUGCCUGUCACUACCCAGUCAGUAAACAGGCCUAGACCCCUGCCUCUCAGGCACAUACUUGUUCUAUAUUAAUAAGCCAUACAUCUCCAGGGGAUCUGGCAGAAAUAUGAAAGCACUUAAGUUUAUACCAUUAAAUACGAAAGAAUUUUUUUAAUAUCAAAGAGGCCAGGCGAUGACCAGAGCAAAUGUACUUUUCUCUGAAGACCUUUGACAGUCACGGGUACUAGGAUUAGAUCAGAGAGUUGUCCCUCAGUGCUGUGCCUCUCGUUCUGGGAUGCCGAAGGAGUUGAGUUCUUCUGUAGUGCAUGAUCCCACCAACUGUUAGCAGAGCAGUUUGGUGAGAUGGUGAUAGGUAGGUAGCACUGUGGUGGUUCAAGGGAGGAGCUGAUGGGCUGAUUGGUGCCUCCCUGCAUACAGGUGCUGUGCAGUUAGUUUCGUGUGUUUGUGAAAAAGCUUCAUUACACAAGUGAACAGUGUGAGUUUUCAGAAGCGAUGACUCGUAAGCCAUCUGAGGACAAAGCAGAGAGUGACAAACCAUCUUUGUCAGCAGAACAUUGCCAGAGAGAUCAGAGUCCCUGAACUAAUCUCACAUGUUGGUAGUCUCAUGGAGAAACAUGAUGGGGAAAAGGCUUUCCGCAGCAUGGGAGCUGAAUUUCUACGGUUAGCAUGAUGGGAUUUGAGAAGGUCACAGAAGAAACAGUGUCACACACAAAGUGCACAUCCUGCUGUUGAUUCAGACAGUUCCCAGGGCUGCCACAGAUAGGAGACGUACACACCUGACUCUUCCACCAGGUGUUAGGUGAUAGUGGUGAACGGUGAGUCAACUCAUGGCUGCAUACAGCCCAGGAGGUCAAGUUCAUGUCAGUAGCUGUUCCUAGCUAAGCCACUAACACAUGCAUCCUGUCUUGGCGAUGUUCCUUGUCCAUAUACUUCCCACACUGCAUGCAAGUCACUGCCAUUUUCUGCAGCCCUUGUCAUUGGCCCUCAAGGCCACAGCCUGACCCACAGUCUGGAGUGCCGUGGUGAGGACCAGUGAAUGAAUGGAAAAGAACACGAGGGCAAGAAGCCAGGAGACCUGCACAGGCAGCCCAAACCUCUGCUCUGGAGCUGCCGUCUGAAUGGGCAGCUGGGACUUGAUAAUCUCAGAUCUUUGCUGGCACAGGUGAGCUGUUUGUGACGUUGUGGAAUAGGCCAUAUGAUGAGGAAGCAAACGUUCCUCUUCCAGAAGCAAGCAUCUGGACCUGGGAACUCUAGUGUCCAUGCGCAGCGUCCUGCCCUGAUGACGUGACCUGCCUUCCUGGCUGUCCUGUGUGAGAUUGUUCCUCAUUCCCCUGACCCUACUGACUGCUCAUUGGUGGCUUUAUAAAGUGAAUACAUCCUUUCACUAGACUUCUGUGCAUGUGGGUGGUAAGAAUACAAAGGCAUUGCUUAAGAAGUCAUACUUUGUAAAAGCUUAUAUACAGUGUAGGCUUCAUAUUCAUAAGACACUGAGUAAAGAAAGGGGGGUGCGGGAUAUUUGGCAUAGUUCUUAACUCUGGGCAUAGGCCUGUGUUCUCGGUGAGCUGGCAGGAGAGAGCAGUGGCCACCUCUGCCUGCUACAGCUGAGGCUGAUGACACAGUUAGGAGAGAGUCUUUCAACACCCACCAUGUUCAAACAAGAUUAUCACAGACUUUCACCCUUCUUCCUGAAGCUUCCAGGCUAAUGGAACAGAGUAACUGAGAGAUUGCUAUUAGAGAUUUUCUUUUCCGCAUAGGUGAUGGGUGGGAAGGCAGGUAGAUUUGCAGGAUUAAGCAGUGUCUUAGAAUAUGAAGUUAAAAGAAAACUUUUCAAAAGUUGCAUUCACAAAUAAAUUAGAGCAGAUGUCUUCACCCAAUAGCUCUUUCAGGAGAGGAGCUGGGGCAGGAGGGAACUGGUUCUGUGGUGUGGAUGGCGGCUGCCUGCUCCUAAUGAAGGCUCGUGGAGAAGUCGCCACAGUGGAUCAGACUGAAACCGGAACCAGGUUUGAUCCACGGCAAGACUGAGUCAGGAGAGUGUGCCAGGAGGAGAGCUGCCACCCUGCCCUGCUGAAGGGGCAGGUGGGCUAGCUCGGCCUUAGUUUGUGAGUGCGAACACUUGAGAGGCUCUGAAGCCAGGAACUUCAGCACAGUGUGUCUGCUGUUACUGAGAGGACUGUGGAGUUCAGGCCCUUUGAACCCCCUACCCCCAAAAGCAAGCAAAGGAAGAGCCUCUGGUUUCCAUAGCAUGCCUGAUCUGGACUCUCAGGAUCUGUCUCUGGUCCUCUCAGAGCAGUGUCUCCUUCCCUUCGUCCUUCUGGACUGGAAACAAGCAGGUGGGGCUCUAGAACUCACCCAUUUUAGAUUUCCAAAACAAGAGAUUCACUAAAGUGAAACUGUCCUUGCUGUGCACUUCAUUAGGGAAGAGCAUUAGUGCACUGUGCGUGGUCAGCUCUGUGGUUGAUAGCAUAUUUAAGUAAUUUUAAAAUGAAAUAUUACUAGCAUUAUUUAUGUGAGGUUCUAGGUCUUUCGUGAACAAGUAGAACGCUAGACUUCUUUAUGGCAUGAAUCAAACCUAGAUCCCAGUGCUUGUCGGACCCUCUGAAUACCCGGGCAGCCGAGGCAUUUGUCUUGGAUAGAGACGUGUGGAGGGUUUUAAUCACUUUUUCCCUCUUUUAAAUAUUGCCUUUCCAUAGUUGCUUCUUAAUGAAUGACUGUUUACUGAAGUUUAUACCAGAGGUCUUUGGACAUUAAACAGUUGUAAUCGGAAUACAGUUUUGUAAGAAAAUACCUACAUUUUCAUACCCUUACAUCAGAACAAUAAAGAUAAAUGGACCUCCUCCCUCUGGGCAUGUGGUGAUUUUAGAAAUCUCAUCGUUCUCUUUUUUGAAAACUUGAAGUAUAAUAAAUGAGUUCAGAAGAAAUUUAAUUAUAGUUCUUAAGCUGUAAACCUCUGAGUGGGUAGGGCCACAGUAACUUUCACCUCUUGAAAUAGACGAGACAUGCAGCUAGGAUAAAAUUUGACCCUUUGAGUGUGAUCAGCACCUGAAGGAAACCGGCACGUACAAAAUCACCUUCCUCCUCUUUAAAAAAGUUAUUAAAAUAUAGUAUUUGUUUGUCUUUUCGGUGAACACAAAAUACCACACUUGGGCAUCUCUUAGGCAACAGAAGCAAGAGCCCAGCGUUUGUUAUCUGUCUGGGUGAGGUCAUUAGCAUCCUAUGGAAGACAGUGGUUGACAAGACCACCUGGGGGAAACUUGGAUGAGACUCUCGCUCUGGCUUUGGAAGCCCUGGCUCUGCAUAGCAGAGUCUCCUUUUGUAAUAAACUUGACAUGGGGACCUCACAGUAGAGUGCUCCCUCCAGAAAUGCUCAGUCUUAAAAAGCCACUAAAAGUGAGAGAGCAUCUCAGAAAUACCCCCCAGCCUCACCCCCCAGAGCGGUUCUCAGGUGGCCUUUGGGUAGGAACUCACAUGAACUGGCAUGUGCUUGUUGUGGUUCUCCGCCUUAAGCAGGCCAUGACAUCCCUUCCUGAUCUGGAUUUAUAGUUCGAGUUGUUCUCUAGGUCUCUGAGCACUGAGCACUGUUGAUACAAACUUAGGUUGGUGAAAACUACAAGUUGUCCCAGAAGUAGGGAAUUCAGUGUGGGGCAGCCACAAAAAGUUCUGUUCUAUCCUGUGAAGGUAGUGAGCGAUAUUUUCAGAUCCCAACCACAGAUAGUCCAGGAUGUCUGUAGUCUAGGCAUGUAUAAUGGAAAGAAAUGACCCGACACUCACGUAGGUGAGCAUAAUCUACAGUUUCCCCAUAAAGUUGAAACAGGGAAGGCUGUAUAGAGAACUUACAGCUCAUGGCGAGGUUUGGUCACCGUCAUCCAGCAUUUUUCACCCAUUGGCCCAGACCUCUACAGCCAGUGCUGUCAUGCAUAUUUAUUUACUUACUCAAACCUAAAAAUCUUUGAAAUCAUGUCUUGUGUUCUGCUGAGGCUACCUGCUUUUACAAGUGCCUAGUGUUUCCAGAGUACAUGUGCCAUCACCCUGAGUGAGACCAGCCUUUAUAUACUUGGAAAGGUUAUUCCUACAGAGAUCCGAAACCAUUUGCCAAAUCCCUUUAGGCAUCCCUCAGGAAGGCUGCGCUAUCAGAAACUAGUUUAACUUGGGAACUGCAUCCAGGCUUUUGAGUGCAGCUAGCCCUGGCCAAAGGUCUGUUUCAUUCGUCCAGGUUCUGCCUUUUUGUGUAAGCUACAUGCAUUUGUGUCUGCCAUGCCAUGUCUCUGCAGCCCCAGGAGGUCUCUGAGUGAGACUAAAAUAAUCCUGCCACCGGGACAGCACGGGGCCUGUUUGGCUUGUGCCUUGUUAUUUGUCCCUCCAAUGAUUCCCAGUUGUGACGUCAAGGCUGCCAUUGAGCACAGAGCAAAAAGGAAGCCGUGGCUUCACUUUGCAUCAGUAGCCCGGACAAACGGUUGUUCCUCAGGCAUCCAAAAUGCUCUGUCUGGCAGAGCUGUGCAUUCCAUGCCUGGGUGACCUGGUUAAAUGGAGGAAACCAAAUGCUGUUCCCGAAUGCUCUCCAAAACAAACCUUCCACCCAGGCGUCUCAAGCCCAGGCCCCACCGCCUCCCACCCCCUCCCUCCAAGGACUGAAUGGCUGAGCCAAGCUGCCUGUGCAUUCAGCCCCUCUUCAGACUCUGAGGCAAGAAUAUGAUUAGCAGCAGCCUUGAUGAGCGGCCUCUACAACAUCACUCUGCCGCCUCAGGUCAGUACUACAGGGUCCCUUCUGGAAAACAAAGGCUGGGUUUGCAAAAACUUUUUGGAAUCAUACUCAAAGGUGUCAACUGGUGAGUGACAGGCCACCUUCAGAAGCCUGGACCCCAGCUGCAAACUUCUGAAUUCUAGAAAGACAUUUGUGUGUGGGUACAUUUUAAUCUUUAUUCCUCGCUCUUCUUACUUAGCACAAAUACGCUUUGGUUUUGUUUCUUUGUGAAGAGCAGUGCUUUGCUUUGGGGAGAGGGAGCAGACAGUAAACCAGAUCCCACCUCAGCAGUAAACAGAGCAUAUGAGACCAGAUGUUCCUCGAUGGUGUUAGGAUGUCUUACAACAGUAGAUGCCUCAGAUCUACCAACUUAAGGCUGAGUCAUCCUCCCAGGCCCUGCCUCCUCAGCUUACUUUCCGCCCCAGAAGGUGACUUUAUUUUAGGAGUCUCAGAAAUGAACAUUUCAAUCACUAGGAAAAGCACGGGUAUGGCAAACCACACUGUACUUCAGGGUUGUGUUAGACCAGACACUGCAUUUGAGGUUUCCCAUUAGAAAUCCCAUUCAGCCUUUCUCCCAGUACCCCUUCUGCAAACCUUGGACUGAAGGAUGUUGGGAGAAAGCAAAACCACUCAAUUCAAUACAUACACAAGUAUAUAUGCACAUUUCAUAUCAGAAUCGUGAUAAAGUAAGUCCUUGUUCUAGAGACAAGGCCUUGCUGUAAUAACCCAGACUAGCCUCAAAUUGAAUUAUCCUCCUGACCCUGACCCUGACCCUGAGAUAUCAUAAUAUGAAACUUAAGUCAGGUCUCAUUCUUAAAGAACUGACUUAAAGUUGAAUCAACUGCUUUAAGACUAUGUCCUAUAGAACUUAUUUUGUUUUCAUUAUAUGAAAGAGACUUGAGACAUGAUGCAGUCAUGUUAUUUCUUUGGACAAGGAUUGAAUGCUGACUUCUAGACUUAUUUCAGAGAGGGUAGUUUGUGUAGAAGCACUGACAAUAUUCUCAAGUCCCUCUCUUAAUUUUUAAAAAUAUAUAAACCAUUCUCUUAACCAGGAAAGGGAAUAACACUCGAAAUGUAUAUAAGAAAUACUCAAGUUAAUUAAAAAAAAAAAGAAUUGAGACGGAGAAGAUGGGGGUUUGUUCCACGUAUGGCUGUAGAUUAUGAAUUGGAUCUCCUUUAAUGUUCCUUGCGAGAGCAAGUCAAGACUAAAAUUGCUUUUUAAAUUACUUUCAGUUAACUGGAUUGUGUGUCUUUCAGUGAUACUGCACAAAGAUUAAGUCAUAAAUCCUCAGGGAUUUAUUUGAGUUGCAAAAAAAAAACCAACAACAACUCAGAAACUGAUAAUGCAAGUUAGUUACACACACACAAAAAAAUUAAACAAACAGGAAAUCUAGCUUUAGUACAGUCAUCUCUGUUGGGCUUUGUUUUCCUUAAACCUGACUCUUCAGAUUCUGACUGUCUGACCUCAGAGGAUUGUAACAUUACAAGGUGACUACAUUAUAUUUACACUGUAUUCUGUGCCAUUAGUCAGUCAGGAAGGUGAACCAGACUGGUCAUUGCAUGACCUUGUUUGUCCGCCUUGUAAUUAGGAUGAACUUUGCUUCCUAAUUCAAUCGAAGUAUUACUCAGGAAACAAGAGCCCCUACCCCAAAUACAGUGACGACUUCCAUUUCUCUUUGUGUGUGUGUGUGUGUGUGUGUGUGUGUGUGUGUGUGUGCGUGCGUGCGUGCGUGCGCGCGCGCAUAUGCAUGUGCAGGUGUGUGGGCCCACACUUGCCAUGAGGCCAGAGGAGACUCUCCGGUGUUCUGUUCUUCACCGUCUUUCCUGAGGAAACAAGGUUUCUUUCUGGUUCUGUCUUUGUCUUUCUCUCGUUUGUUUUUCUGUGUUCCCUCCCCACCCUCUCUCCAGUGCUGGUGCUUCAGACAUGUGCAGCCACUGCUGCCCUUUUGUGAGUGCUGGGGACUUCAACUCAGGUCACCAUGCAUGCUCAGCAUAAAACGGCCACACCCCCUGUGUUGUCUCUGAAGGGCUUGAUAUGCUUUAACGCUUUUUAUUCUCAGCCUCGUAGAUGUGUGUGUGUGUUGUGCCUGACACAUUGCAGCUAAUAUAAACUUGGGGGCGGAGGCAGGGAUGUGUUAAUGGAACUUCAGGGGUUUUGUUGUUUUGUGUUUUAUUUUCAUUUAUGGGGGCAUAUGCACACAGUUCAGUACACUCGUGAAUGUCAGGAGUUAGUUCCCUCCUUCACCGUGAUAGUUCCAGGAAUCGAACUCAAGCAGGCAGGCUUGGUGGGUACACUGUGCCAUUUCACCUGCCUCAAGCUUCAAGUUCUUAAGCCUCAGUGUGGAGUAGUGAGCGGCACAGCUGUGCACUCGGGUUGAACAUAGCCCCUGUAAGUAAAACUCCUGAGAAACCGAGUGUUAAGGGGUUGUUUGUUUGUGUUUGAGACAAGGUUUCACCAUAUACUUCUGGCUUCUUAGUAGUGACUUAAUAUUUUGUAUAAAAAUUUCAUGUUUUGGGGUUGGGGAUUUAGCUCAGUGGUAGAGCGCUUGCCUAGGAAGCGCAAGGCCCUGGGUUCGGUCCCCAGCUCCGAAAAAAAGAACCAAAAAAAAAAAAUUUUCAUGUUUUAAAAAUUUAAUGAAAACUUACAAACUUUUCUCUGUAGACCCAGUAAGAUAACGAAGAUUCCCGUGGCAUGUAGUGGCACACAGAAACUAAAUCUAGGGGGUUAUAGUGGUGAGUCCUUAUGUCUGGUGGUAGGUAAUUUGACAGCCAUUUUCUUCAUUCAGCAGGUGUGGACAGUCGGCGACCUCCAUGGAAAUCCUGAAGAUCUCCUUUCUAUUCCUCAUCUGCCUUCUGCCACAGCCACUGGUCAGCAAGUGACCAAUUAAAAGAACAAGCCUGUCCUGUCGUUCAGGAACAAGUGACAGAGGUCUAAGGUGUGUGAGGGAGAAGACAAGGCAGCAGAGAGAGACAGGUGCUGGCUGGACGCGGUGACAAACACGCCUGACUCAGUGAAGUUGAAGGACUGCAGGAUCCCUGGGCCUGCGAUUACGACGGAUGGGCUGAGGAAGGCAGUACUGGCACUCAGCGAUUCUGCUGGCCCACUCUUCGCUCUCCUAAUGGAAUUCAAUCCUCUGCUUCCAGGACAAGCCCAGCCUGUGCUUGGGGAUCCUUGGGUGACUGUUCAACCGUGAGUAUUUUUUUUUUUUUUGAAGCGCACUGAUUCUUGCUUAGAAACAGCAUUCUGUCAAAGGAAGAGUUUCAAAGAACUAUCUUUGCUGGUGUGUGUGUGUGUGUGUGUGUGUGUGUGUGUGUGUGUGUGUGUGUGUGUAGUACAUUUCACACUUACUAUAACUACAGAAGCAAACAUGACCUACAGACAACCAUGGGAGCUAAGAAUUAGAUUUAUUUUUUAUUUUUAUAGCAUAUGCAGCAUAAAAAUGAAGUUUUGUUAUCUUAGAUCAGUAUACUGGAGCACAAAAAUGAAAGAUGCACAUUGAGGAAGUAUUUGUGUGUUUAUGUGCAGAAAGACUUGUGAUUCCUGGUGCUUUGUUUUCCCACCAGUGCUAGCAAAUAAGCUUCAGAAGAGAUCAAAGAAAGUGCGUCGUACCUGUGUAGAAGCAGAGGCGUAGAGAAGAUAGCCCUGGCAUUGCAUAUGCUGCUCUCUGUGUUAGCUAUGCUGUCUGCCUCCUCCUGAUCACUUUUCCAGACCACAUCCUUAAUUAGUGUAAAGGGUGCUUGGUGGGUGAUUGCUAUGGGUGUUCUUACUCUCCCACUGAGGGCGGAGUAGAGGGUAUAGCCUAUCGUGUUAUGUCUAUUUACUGAGUAUACUAAGUUAUGUCCUAAUGCUUCAGAGUUAGAGUUAUCAAUCUGUUCUAGAUUCUAGCCCUCCAUGCCCCUCCCCCGAGAUGCUGGCAGACGCCAUGAAUCCUUUAAGCACACCAUUACACAUUGGCUUGCAUAUGGAGACCUCCACAGAAAUGGAGAAGCCUCUCCAGAUGCCCUAGGCAUAGGACCCUGGACUCUGGGGGCCUUAUCCUACUGAGCAGUUAGAGUUCCCAAAGAACUGCUGUUGAAAGCAGGAAAUACCCAGGGCAGAAGUCACUCUCUGUGGCUGCUGGGUGGGGAUACAGAGCCAGAGAAAAGACAAAAGGGUGGAGAACACAUGACUAAGUAAAUAGUGGAGAGUGGUUGAUAACAUCAGGACCGUCACAUGAGGAGCCCAGAAUCCCUGUCUGGUUACCCAGGCACACAUCUGUAAAAGAGUAUGGGUUUAGGAGAGAUCUAAGGACUCGUCAUAAACCACUUUGGCUAGUUUUUCUCAACCCAGGUUUUCCUCAUUUUUUACUCCAUAAAAUUUAGUGUCUGUCUGUCUGCCUUUCUCCCUUCCUCCCUCCCCCCCUCUCUCCCUCGCUCGUGUGCUCUCUUUAUUUCGUUUGUGUUUCCUUUGUGUAUGCCACCAAAUCAGGUAGGGUCACCUGAACUUGAAGGAGUAAUUCAUAACAAAUUGGAGAGAUGGUUUUUGACCUGGAAGAAAUGUGGUACGGCUGAGUAUGUGAGGAGGUUGUUGAAUACAAAAGGAACAGUGUCUGAAAAAAAAAAUACAUAGCCCUUAUUGCUCAUAAGCUAUAUUGAAACCAGUACCGUGGGGCCACUGUGGAACAAGACGACACAAAUGUGUUAGGAGGAGUGUGCCACAGAGGUUAAGAGGAGCAGAGGACGUUAGCCAGACUCGGUGCACUCACUUUGAGUCACAUUCGAAGAAAGAUGUUCAGCGAUUGGGAAGCGCUGGUGCACAAUCAACAGAAAUUACAAACCCUUCUAGGAAAAGAUGAAGGGACUGAAGGGUUUAGUCUGACGUGGGCAGGGAAGGGCUUGCUGCUGACAGUCCUAUGUAGUAACUGCUUGGUUUCCCUUGUCUCCUUGGAUCUCCAUGCUGCCCACUCGGUCUUCUCUGCAGCACGAUGUCAUGAUACAGGGAUAAUCAGUACAUUUUCUGGCCGUGAUAAAUAGUUCAGAAAGGGGAUAAAAUACUUAAGCCUAGGCAUGUGAUGAAAUCUCUGGUGAUAACUUUCUAAAGAUGAAAGUAGGUAGCUAUUUUGAGUAUUAGAACGUUUCUGUCUUCAACACAUAGGGCCUACUGUGAUAGGCAGGUACAAAGGGAGAUAACGGUGCUUGAUUACACUAUUGUGGGGACAUAAAGCAUUAUGUGGUAGGUGCCUGUGGCAUUCAGCCACCUCCCCAUGUGGCUUCCUGAUGGAGUCGAAGUCCAGACUGCAUCCUAAAGAGCAGCCAUUGAGGUUAGCACGAUGAAGGAGUUAGUAGUGAGCCAAGGACUAGGGUGCCACAGGAGGUGGCCUAGAGAUCCCCACGAGUGGUCUGGUGAGGUGUAUGACUUGGGAAGAUGAGCAGGCAUCAGGUAAGAGGACUUGGUUGGGGGACAGGUUGGGCGAGGUAAGGAGGCUCCUGACUCAGCAGAGCUGUUAAGCAUAUUUGAAGGUAGGGAAUUCCAGAGAGAGGAGUGAACUGGCAGAUAAGGCAGUCAGCAUAAUGGCUUAGAUACCAUGUGCUAUCGCUCACUAUGCACCCAUGACACAAGAUCACAGAAGUACAGGCCUGGACCAUGGCAGAGUAUACACUGGUUGGGUAAAUGAAGAGGAGAGACAGAGUGGGAAGUCGGCUUAGUGGAUAUGGACUUCAAAUUUGAUGAACAAGCAAUUCAAAUGAGUAUCGUGGGCUUGACUGGUAUGAAGACCCGUUUGCAAAGCAGUGGUCAUAAGAGAGAAAAGAGAGAGAGAGAGAGAAAGAGAGAGAGAGAGUGUUGUUGUUGUUGUUGUUGUUGUUGUUGUUUAUUGGUUUAUAACAAGAUCUACCUUUGGUAACUUUCACUGGCCUUAAACUCACUAUGUAGCUGGUCUGGAACUCAGAACCCUGCCCCACCCUCCUGAAUGUUGGGAGUAUAGGUGUGCACCAUACCUGGUCUUUGUGUUUUAAAUUUGAUUCAAAGUCAUCAGUAGUAAAAAUUUCCAUUGUGUAUGCUCAAGGUAUGUGAUAUGACAUUUUGAUCAAAUGAUAAUUGCUUAUAGUAAAACCAGUUAUAUACAGAUCUCACAUGGUUACACUCACAUAUAUAAAAGCACCGAAAUUCCCCUAUCAGUAUCAUCUGCUGUUAUGCACGAUUCCCAUCGAUUUGUCUCAAAUAACAACUUUAUAUCCUCUAACCAGUAUUUCCUGAUCACUCUUGCCACCUUCUGUCAUUUUUCUAUAUGCUUGACUCUUUUUUAAUUCCACAUAUGAAAAGGUGAAAUUAUCUUCAAUUCCCAAUGAUGUGUUGAUAUUAAUAAUGUCUUAUAAUUAACCCCACCUACUAAUGCGUGUGUGCAUCUUUUCCCGUAGCGACCUCCUCGAACGAUUUGCAAGAGCUCUAUUGACUCUUGGCAAAGCUCACUUUUUAAAUGAGCGUUUUCUCUAUAUACAUAAAACAUGCCUUAAAGCAUCUUUGGAGGUUCAUAUAUAUAUAUAUACAUAUAUAUAUAUAUAUAC
ensembl:lncRNA LOC120102485 uncharacterized LOC120102485